AUGAUGGAAAAAUUAAAAGAAAUGUUUCAACAUUUAAAAAGUAAGAAAACCAUAAAACCCUCUCCAUCCAGUGUGCGAGCUCCCAGGCUCCUGGCUCUGCAGGACUGGCCACUCUUCAGGCAGAUGACCAGCAGCACUGGCCCCUCAGGGCCUCAGAGGGAGGUGAGCCCCCAUGCGGCCUCCAUGGGCCACAAAGCCAACCAGGCUCCCUCGAUGGGGACCCCCCAACAGGCGACACACCGACGUGCAGGGGAGUGGACUCUCACUGGUGACCCUGCCCAGUGUGCGGGUGGGCAGGGGUCCACCCUCUCUGACCCACCCAGGCCAGAGGGGGUCCACCCUCUCCUCACCUCAUCUUCUCCACGCCUGCUUCCCGGGGUGGCACCGCACCAGCACACAGUCAACCCCGAGCGAGCCCUCGGGCAUUCGUGCCAAUUGACAGAACUAGCACACAAAGUGGCUCAGAACCUCAGGAAAGGAAAAAAAUGGCAGAGAUCGGGGUCUAAUUUAAAGGUAGAAUUCAGGAGUUCCCGUCCUGGGGCAGCAGAAAGAAAUCCAACUAGGAACCAUGAGGUCACAGGUUCCAUCCCUGGCCUCGCUCCGUGGGUUAAGGAUUCAGGGUUGCUGUGGCUGUGGUGUAGGCCGGCAGCUGCAGGUCUGAUUCAACCCCUAGCCUGGGAACCUCCAUAUGUUGCACGUGCAGCCCCCAAAAAGCAACAACAACAAACCAGAAACAUGGAGAGCUGCACCAGGAAAUUAGUCACAUCACCUAAGAGGGAGUUGAUGGACACUGAUUACCUUUGGAAAACGUGUUUUGUUUUGUUUUUCUUUUUUGGCUGCCCCAUGCCAUGUGGCGUUCCAGGGCCAGGCAUCAGAUCUGAGCUGCAGCUGCAUCCAUGCCAGAUCCUUAACCCACUGUGCUGGGCUGGGUAUCUGAACCCGUGCUCCAGAGACACCGCUGAUCCCACUGUGCCACAGUGGGAACUCCUGGAAAAUGUUUAA
rnacentral:lncRNA from 1 species